GAUGAACGCUGGCGGCGUGCCUAAUACAUGCAAGUCGAGCGAACAGAUAAGGAGCUUGCUCCUUUGACGUUAGCGGCGGACGGGUGAGUAACACGUGGAUAACCUACCUAUAAGACUGGGAUAACUUCGGGAAACCGGAGCUAAUACCGGCUAACAUAUUGAACCGCAUGGUUCAAUAGUGAAAGGCGGCUUUGCUGUCACUUAUAGAUGGAUCCGCGCCGUAUUAGCUAGUUGGUAAGGUAACGGCUUACCAAGGCAACGAUACGUAGCCGACCUGAGAGGGUGAUCGGCCACACUGGAACUGAGACACGGUCCAGACUCCUACGGGAGGCAGCAGUAGGGAAUCUUCCGCAAUGGGCGAAAGCCUGACGGAGCAACGCCGCGUGAGUGAUGAAGGUCUUCGGAUCGUAAAACUCUGUUAUCAGGGAAGAACAAAUGUGUAAGUAACUGUGCACAUCUUGACGGUACCUGAUCAGAAAGCCACGGCUAACUACGUG
rnacentral:rRNA from 1 species